UUCCGUUGAUCCUGCGGAAGAUUGCUGCUAUUAGGGUUCGAUUAAGCCAUGCAAGUCCAGGCUCUCUUUGAGAACCGGCAAAAUGCUCAGUAACACGUCGAUAAUCUGCCCUUAGGUCAGGCAUAACCUUGGGAAACUGAGGAUAAUACCUGAUAUGAGAUAAUAUCUGGAAUGGUAUUUCUUUGAAAGAUUACGCCUAAGGAUGAGUCGGCGGCGGAUUAGGCUGUUGGCGGGGUAAUGGCCCACCAAACCGACGAUCCGUAGGGGCCCUGAGAGGGGUAGCCCCGAGAAGGACACUGAGAUAAUGGUCCUAGCCCCACGGGGUGCAGCAGGCGCGAAACCUUUACAAUGCACGAAAGUGUGAUAAGGGAACCCUAAGUGCUAAUGUUAUGCAUUGGCUUUUGUUUAGAGUAAAUAUCUGGACGAAUAAGUGGUGGGUAAGACUGGUGCCAGCCGCCGCGGUAAUACCAGCGCCACAAGUGGGAAUCGCAAUUAUUGGGCCUAAAGCGUCCGUAGCUGGUUUAGCAAAUCUCUUGUGAAAUCGUGGAGCUUAACUUCACGGCAUGCAGGGGACACUACUAAACUUGGAACCGGGAGGAGUCAGAGGAAUUUUAGGGGGAGCGGUAAAAUGUUAUAAUCCCUGAAAGACCACCUGUCGCGAAGGCGUCUGACUAGAACGGAUUUGACAGUGAGGGACGAAAGCCAGGGGAGCGAACCGGAUUAGAUACCCGAGUAGUCCUGGCCGUAAACGCUGCGAGCUAGGUGUUGCGUAUUCUUCGUGAAUGCGCAGUAUCGAAGCGAAGGCAAUAAGCUCGCCGCCUGGGAAGUAUAGUCGCAAGGCCGAAACUUAAAGGAAUUGGCGGGGGAGCACUACAAGGGGUGCGGCGUGCGGUUCAAUCUAAUUCAACGCAGAAAAUCUCACCGGGAGCGACAGCAGAAUGAAGGUCAGGCUGAAGACCUUACCUGACAAGCUGGGAGGUGGUGCAUGGCCGCCGUCAGCUCGUGCCGUGAGGUGUCCUCUUAAGUGAGGUAACGAGCGAGACCUGCGCCCACAAUUACCAUCAGAUCCUUUUGGAUGACUGGGUACUUUGUGGGGACUGCCUUGGAAACAAGGAGGAGGGUGCAGGCUACGGUAGGUCUGUAUGCCCCGAAUCCCCCGGGCUACACGCGCGCAACAAUGGUAGGGACAAUGGGCCACAACUCCGAAAGGAGAAGUUAAUCCUCUAAACCCUAUCUUAGUCCAGAUCGAUGGCUGUAACUCGCCGUCGUGACGAUGGAAUCCCUAGUAAUCGGACGUCAACAUCGUCCGGUGAAUAUGUCCCUGUUCCUUGCACACACCGCCCGUCAAAUCAACCGAGCAGGGUUUAGGUGAGACUCAAUCUCUUGAUUGUUUCGAACCUAAGCUCAGUGAGGUGGGUUAAGUCGUCACAAGGUA
rnacentral:rRNA from 1 species